rnacentral:lncRNA from 1 species
UACAAUCUUACUCAAAACCAUAAUGAGAACUUAUGGGAUGGCGAUAAGAUUAGGAUUCGAAAAGCCUAGCUUGCAUCUCUUGAUUCUUUUAUUAUGUCUGGUGCUUUUAGUCGGUCUGAUGAUGAUUGGCUUUAGACUCUGCCCAAGAAUCAAGAGAUGGAUGCCCCUUUUUAAUUUGAUCCAUUUUUUCUUAUUCUGGGUUUUGCCCUCUGCAACAUUUUUUCUGUCAUCUUUUGCUGGGAUGAUGCAAGUGACUGAAAGUGGCAACUCGGGCGUAAACUCCGGGUGGACUGACCUACUAGAAAGCAAAACUGACGCUAAUGGAAGUUCUACACAAAGUCGUCAGCAACCAGCUGCCAGCCCUUCCACUUCCAACCCCCAAGAAGAGGAUGUGCUGCCCUUCAAUCGCUUUCCAUAUGACCCGGAUGAAGUGAUCGGAGGAGACUCCGUCAAUUCAAUUCAGCAACGCCUUUUAAGGCGUUAUACAUCGCCUUCGAAGGCAGUCAUAGACAGGGCCCUAAUCGAAGCACAAGAUCUUUUUGAGGUGAAGGUGGACAUCAUCAGAACGAUGACACCCCUUCAUCCAGAAGGGGAUUGGCUUAGACGAGGGGCCCGCGCUCUAGAUAAUAAUCGCACUUCCACGGGGGAGGAAAAGCUUGAAAAGUUAUAUGAUUUUAAGAGGGACUUAACAGAAAGUGGAUUACAAUCUUCCACUUUUCAAUUGUUGAAAGGGAGAGUCUUCUUAAGAAUCGAUGAUAUCGAUUCAGAGUCCGAGAUACACUAAGAUUCCGAGAUACACUAAGAUUCCGAGAUACACUAAGAUUCUGAGAUACACUAUUGGUUGUAGUCUGAUUGAUCUAUCAUAUCAUAUCAGGCGAGGCUCCUAGCAAUGGGAGGAAAGGAGAGUGGGUACGCGGGCUCCUUUCAACUUUUGUUUUGAAUGAAUUCCACUAAUCAAAGUUAUUAUCCACAUAGUGAAUCAUCUUACUUCUAUUAUGAAAUUUCUAGUUUGAUUGGUGAGUGUGCUUUCGAAAGUAGCGGUCGACUUCUCUUCAUUGCAACUACACUAAACUUUCCAUUCUUGCUUAAACCUCUGAAAGCUCAGUCAGUUAGCCCUUUCGUUUUCGUAUGCACGCAAUUCAUGGCCAUCGUUACCAUUGUUAGUACUCAGCCUUCUACUUCGUAAACUCAACCUUCGGCUUGCAUGUGUGAAGCAUGCCGCCAGCGUUCAUCCUGAGCCAGGAUCGAACUCUCCAUGAGAUUCAUAGUUACAUUACUUAUAGCUUCCUUGUUCGUAUAAAAAGCGGAUUCGGAAUUCUCUUUCAUUCCAAGGCAGAACUUGUAUCCAUGCGCUUCAUAUUUGCCUAUACCAGAGAGACCGGGCAAGUGUAUCGAUGGAUUUCAUUGCAAGCUUGCCUAAGGUGGGGGAUUAAGCAAUUCCAACAUAUUCCGUUGCCACUUCCCAAACCUUUCGGAGAGUUGAAGUUCAGAUGGCUGAAAGGCGCUGCACCUUAAGACCUUAAGAUAGAGACUUUCUCGUGGUGAUCGGUUCAUCGGCAACGACAGAUACGUGCGAUCGAAAGAUUGCUAAUACGCCCCAGCUUAAAAAGAAGGGCUACUAGUGAAGAUGCCGAGAAUGGCCGGGGAUUACCGGUCUUAGUUAGAAUCUCUUGCAAAUGCAUGUGUGUGAGGAAAUGAUUUCAAUUUAGUAUUCGUAAGGGAAGGCAAUGCCAUGGCAUGGAACUUCUUUGUACGAUACGAGUCUCUAAAGGCAAAGCCUUUGAAAGAAGAAGCUGCUACCCUUUCUUUCUCACUCUUCCACGAAAUGGAGCCUAGGCAAGCUGUAAUAAAAACCUGAUCCUGAUGUGGAUUUCCGGAAUGGAAAUUGACUAUUCAUCAACGAAGGAAAGGCCGCAGGACUGUACCGGAUAUCAAAUAGAAGGGAUAAGGGCCGUGGCUAAGCCGGUCUGUCCAGUAAGCAUUCUGAGUGGGCGAACGAAUCGAAUUCAAAUGGAUUGAUCACAAGGACCUCUGCGAUUUAAAGCUUCGACCGAUAUCGGGCAGUUCUGAACUCACCGAUUGCUACUAGUCUGGAAGAUCCAGAUCUGCUGCGAGCUUGACUUCCUUUCUUCGCAUCUUUGUGGGCAUCGAGACCGAGGUAGCAGAGCAGCCAAUUGAGAAGGUGAAUCAAACCCAACGAAACAAGAGACGCUGCUGAAGAAGGAACAAAGGCAGUGGAUGCCACUGAAGCCAAUACAACACAGGAUCAGCUGAUGAAGCUAGAAAGGCAUAGCCAAAGUUCACUAAUGAAAGCUGCGGGGGGUAGCAGUUUCAGACUAGUAACUAAGUCGUGUCUAAAUUUCUUUCCCUUGCUUCUUAUUCUUUCUCUCUCAUACGAUUUAACGAUUUAGUUACCUCAGAGAAAAAGAGAAAGAGAAUAGUAGCUCAGUUGCUCAACCGUCGGCUAUAGCUGAAGAAAAUGCCAUCUCAGGUCGGUAAUCCAUUUGAUAGGAGAGUUCUAUCACUGAAUAGGAUGCUGUGGUCAUUCUUGGUGUAGCUUCAUCAGAGGAUGAAAGGGAGUCUGCCAUCACUGAACCAGGCGCUAUCGCUGAGUAAAGUACAGUGCUGCGGUAACUGCUACCGUUGAUCGGCUUCUCCUUACUUAAGAUUUCAGUUGUUUCCUGAAUGUGGAAAUUUCGGUAUGAAAGAAAGGAAUAGUAGCAGUCUCUUACCCUGGAGUUUGAGAUCCGGUCCGGUGGAAGUCCUCGAGUAGCCCUUAUCUGUUUUUGCAGUAGUACUUCUUAUUUGAGUAGCUGUCCCAGGUGCUUACGAGCCAGUUUCAACUGUAGUUGCUGUGGAUGGGAGGCCAGACGCACCUGUUCUCGUAUUGGCCUUUGCAUAAACAGUAGUAGCCUAUCCAAUUAGAGCAUCCAUAAUUGGUCGAGUUGCCGUUGAUUGAUUGAAUCUCAAUACAAUAAAAGGUAGAGUCGAAAUAUCAAUAAUAAGAGAAGAAAGCUCUUAGCCUAGGGCAGAUUCAAGGUAUGCGGCUAUCCGACGUCGAAUCAUCUAGUUGCUUUUACUUUUUACUUGUCUUGCUUUGUCGGGAUUCCCUUAGUGUUCUGUGUACUAAGAUUAAGGUAUAAGAUCUCCAAUUUUCUUUUUGCAUCCCUUUUUACCUAGCUUGGCUCGCAUUCGACUGGACUUAUAAUUGUUUAUAUAAAGAAAGGACUUGCUUGCUACUAGAAAUCGUAUUCAAAAAGUUCAAAAAGACAAUGGUAGGUUGCAUUGGUAGCUAUGCUUAGCGGUGACCUUUUUUCAUCCUCAUUCUGGCGUAAAACGCCAGCCACAGAACGCCAAAAUAUGGCGUAAAACAAAAGUCCCACUCACCAAAAAAAAGUGGGCAGAGCUGAAAUACUGAAAAAAUUAUCUUAUGCACCUCAUUUCUAAAUUGAUCGGAUGGGUUAAAGGUAGGCCGACGAACAGGCAAAUAGAGCCUAUCGAUACGGCCCGGUUAAAUUAUCUGGACGGGUUCGAGAGUAUCAACCCGGAUCCAGGUGAUAACCACGAGCUCUUGCUUAACAAAGCUUCCCAUUUGAUAGAUAACUACUUGCAAUUCUAUCAGGUACAAGUACCACCGUCACACACCACAUUAGAGAUAGCUAGUGGAGACCUUAAAUAGGAAAACUCCUGCGGGCCCCGAUGCAGAUCCCGCGCUCAAUCUUCUUUUAGAAUUACACAAUCCGGGCAGUGAGCUUUAUAUAGAAGUAACAAAACUUCUCCUGUCCUGGAUUUAUUGAGACUCGCGGGAGUGAUGGGCAUAUGCUUUUCAGUACUGAUUCGUAUGGAAUUCUCGGGAUCCGGAGUUUUUUGAGAAAAGGUCCCAUCCUUCAAUAUCAUGAUUGGGUCGACCAGGCCAGAUCAUGAGUGAAUAGAAAAUCGAAAAUGUACAUAGCUGUUCCAGCUGAAAUACUUGGAAUAAUUCUACCACUUCUACUAGGAGUAGCCUUUUUAGUGCUAGCUGAACGUAAAGUAAUGGCUUUUGUGCAACGUCGAAAGGGUCCUGAUGUAGUGGGAUCGUUUGGAUUGUUACAACCUCUAGCAGAUGGUUUGAAAUUGAUUCUAAAAGAACCUAUUUCACCAAGUAGUGCUAAUUUCUCCCUUUUUAGAAUGGCUCCAGUGGCUACAUUUAUGUUAAGUCUGGUCGCUCGGGCCGUUGUACCUUUUGAUUAUGGUAUGGUAUUGUCAGAUCCGAACAUAGGGCUACUUUAUUUGUUUGCCAUAUCUUCGCUAGGUGUUUAUGGAAUUAUUAUAGCAGGUCGGUCUAGUAAUUAGGGGGCGGCCGUUCGGUCGCCUAUGAUACUAGGACGAAUAGGUCAAAAAUAGGUUUGUGCCGCAGGUGUUGAACGAUCUACUCUACACAGGUGUGGGCUUACAGGGCUAGGGCUCAUAAACCCUUUCUUUCAUUCAUCAAUAGGGCCCUGGUCGGUCACUUUUCUGGGCCGGGAUCGAUAAGUAGAAGUCAGAUCUUUUAUUUAGAUAGAAAGAAAAAGAUUCGCUGUCUUUUCACUUUUAACCGGCUCUUUUCUUCUUUGUCAACGCUACUAAGGACCUAUAGGUUUGCCUACUUCACUUAUGAAAGAGUUUGAGAAUGGGUUAUUCAAAAAGGAAAGGGCGCUACUUAGUUUCGCAAGCCUUUGUCAUUGUCAGUCAACUAAGUAGGACCUGAGGCCCCCUGCGAAUCCGUAAAUCUGAGGAGCAUGCCGCAACAAAAGGAUGGUCCCCUAUGCAUUUCAUUCUUUCCGGAAGGGAAAAAAAAGUACCCCCAUCAUAGUGAACCUCUCCUUGUGAUCGGGAUGAGGUAGAUGCCUCCCAGCCGGGGGGCGGAUCGAAUCGGAGUUUCCUUAGGUAGCCACCGACCUACAGUUAUCCUUAAACUUCCGUGCUUGGUGGAGAAGAAGCGAACAAAGGUACGCUCGCUUGCUGUCUUGUUCUCUGUCGCGAACUGGGAUCGCUCGCCAGCUAGGUCAGAUUGGAGCAAGAAUGGUCGAGAACAUAUUACCCAACUUAGGGGACAAGGGGCGGAACGACCUCUCGAUCUACUUACUGCAGCCCAGGAAUAAAAACGUCGUCUAGGCGUUCCCUCUUGCUCCGAUCUCCCCUACGCCUAGGACGUUGUCUGGGCCAAGAGCCAUAGUUAGUUGCUGUUUCCAUUUGGUUGUUUCUUUCUCGUUGUUGAUACCGGCAAGACCCAGCCAGAUGAUGUCUGCUGGUUGGUAGUGAGAGGACUCUUAGUACCUGCAUACCCAAAAGGGGGGCGCUGGUUAAAAAACAAUCAUUGGAUUUUCUUUCUUGCUCGCCCUUAGCAGCGGGAAAGGAGUCUAUCUAUCUGCCUAGCUUUGGUAGAUUUCCCCCAACGCAAUCCAAAGAAAUUCCACGAAUCCCUUGGUGGAUAAGUCCGACGACUCAGCAGCAGUGCGGAAUUGAAGUUUCUCCGUCUGGUGGAUCUGAUCUAUAGGGGGCAAUACAUACCAAAAGGUUCGAAGAAGGAAGGCGCAUAAGAGUAUAUAACCAACCCACCCUUCUGUAUAACCUAUUCACAUUAGUGAAGCGGCUGGAUGCAUAAGGGAAGCGCACGUUUAUGAGACCUUUGUCGGGAUGCAUAGUGGAGUCAACCUACGAGCACGGAAGAGCGUGGUACCGAUACCCCUCUCUAAGUAAAGGUAAGAUUCUUAGCCCUGUUGAUGACUCCAUCUAAAAUACAAUAGGGACAUCCGUUUCCGGCUGCUCCUUUCGUAUAAGUAGGCUUAAGUAAUAGGGUCAGGUCAAUAAUAGCUAUGCUAUUGCCCUACUGAUUGUUGGCCUCUGCCCGAUCCCGAAUGCGGGCGGGAUUCGAUCGUGGUCGAUAAUACGGUCGAAAAGACCAGCGAGCGAGAUGGUUGUUAAUAGUACUCCCCCUAUCAUUGCCUUAUGAGUUAGAACAUCCUACAAUCGUACCGAUGUCUACUAAAACCUACGGGCGGGUGCUCCGCAACAGCGGCAGUAGUGAACAUUGCUACUAAAGAAGGGAGAGGGGAGCCUCUACCGCGGUUAGGUUCCCUCGCGACUCUAGUUUUUUGUAUAUGCGUUCCGGGAAUGUCCAAUUCCCUUGAAUCGUACUACCGCUUGUCCCACCGGUAGGGAGGUUGUGUAUCGCCAGAUUCCAAUCCUAUAGUAUCUGGAUUCGUAAUACCGAACCCUAUCUAUUUGCACGAUCGCGCAUGGGCUCGUAGGAAGCGAACUCAUAGUAAGCAAGAGGGCCGGGAAGGAGGGAGCGGGAACCAGAAAGAUUCCUACUUAGAACCCGAGCCCCCUAUCCCUAUAAAUAAAGCAAAAUAGACCUUUAUUUUCUUUCUUGACUAUAUAAGAUAAGAGUUGCACCAGCGACGUCCUUCUUCAGUUUGCUCUUAGUCUCCAGCGAUUUAAUCUCCUUAUCCAGCUCUUUGACCCGAUCCAUCAAUUCUUUAAUCUCUUUGUUCAGUUGUUCCUUCUCCUUUUUCUUAGCUUCUAAGCUAAGUUCACCAACUCUUCAUGAGAUUUCUUCGAUCUCUCUAUAUACUCUUCUCCUUCUUGAAUCUCAGCCAUCAGCUUCGCCAUUGCUACAUCAGCCUCUUUCACCAAAUAGCUUAGCUUUGCCCUCAAAAAUCGACAAUCGAAAGCCUUUUCUUCUGUUCUGAAUUCCUAAUGUCAGCAAAAAUGUCCUGCAUAGUGUCCAUAGGGGAAUCCAUUGUAAGCUCAGCGCCAUUUCUAACCAAAUAGAAAAAAGUCCGCCCAAUCAUUUUUCAUCAGAUCCUCUACUUGUUUAGGUUGGAUUUAGACCAAAGUUUUGAAAUCCCCUGGGGCUCUGAGGAAACAAUUGCAGAAAAGGGGGGUAAGCUAAGGCGGCCCAUUCACUGCAGUACUUCGUCGGAUUCUUGCUCUCCAUGAUCAAAAACUUGCUGAAAUCGAGCUGGUUUGAAUUGUGCAAGAGUACCUUAUUGAAAGCCUUUCCAUCAGUAGAGUAGGAUCAACUUCUACAGUUGCAUGAUGGGCAGUUUGACUUUUUUUUGGGGGGGGGAGGACAGUGUUUUCCUGACUUGAGACAGUUGGGGAAGUUCUUUUGGAGGCCCUAUGUUGAGUAAGGGGGAGAAGCACUGCAAGUAAGGGAAGGAAGGGUAGAGUUGAUGGAUGGCCUACCAAACAAAGAAAACUGAAUGAGUGUCUCCUAGAGUUUUGAAGCACAUGUCGGACUACUGAAAAGUCUUUCUCCACACAUCCAAUCCAAGCCUACCCGAUCAUCUAAGCCUUGUUCUUCCCGCUUCGCCUCUUGCUUGACUCUUUUAGAGUAGAGUGUCUUAGGCGCUUGUGAAAGAAUGCCUUAGAGUCACGGCGCUAGCCGAUAGAGACACCAAUAAGAUAGACUCUCGUCAAGCAUAAGAAAGGAUAUCAUGAACCCUUGGCAUAAGCCCCGUCCGUCCUAGUCCUAGGUGCACUUAGAUUAUAUACGUCAAGAAAUUGAGUCAGUUCCGUACCGAAUAGAGAGCCUUCUCGAACCAGCCCCAAGAGCUGAUACCAUCGCAAUCGUGGAAAAAGACUGGCCUAUAAACUUAGGGUGGAAUACAAGGGAGCCAACACAGUAGUGGAAUUCCGCUUGGACAUCCAUUGUCGUGACCAGAAAGCGACUUCCGGGCGAAGAAGGUCGACUCAGUGUACAUAUGGCGAAAUUCCACAUGGGUUUUAAAACGGUUUUUUUUCCCGUCUUUCCAAGUCAACAAUCGUUUUCCUUCACCCGGGAAGAUCAGAGAAAAAGGUACAUGUGGCUGGGAAGAAUGACAACAAGAGCCGGAAAAGAAUCAGAAAGGAGGCAUGCUCAAGCCCUGUCCGAGACCUAUCGUCCACUGGUCGAAUUCCAUUAGCUCUUUUUCAUUCAUAGGUAGAACUAGAAAAUAAAACCAAAGCAAGAACAAGGAAGCUGGGCCUUACCAAGCCAGAGAGCCCCCGGCUUGUGAUUCUAACCCCCGUAGGAGAUAGAAGAACUCCCACUCCAAAGCAAAGGAUCGACAUCACUCUUUUUCAAGGCUUCUUUCAUUCCCAAGUCCGCUCCCUCUUUUUCUCUUCUAAUGCUUUUCUUUCGCUUCAUUGCCUAGUAAAGGCUCUAAAACAAACAAGUGGUUAAAGGAGCUGAAAGCCACUGAACCCUGCUUCAAACGCUUUUCAUCGACCAUUGAGCUAGUUUUUUUUUGAGUUCAACCUUAUGGAAAAGCUUUCCCACCCUCUUCUUCUUUUACGAAAUUUUCUCGUCACAGGUCCUUUCCCGUCCAUCGAUGACAGUUCUCUUCCUAUGUGAAGAAAGUCCCGCUUAUCGUCUUUGAUUGACUGAAUGGAUCCCGAAAGAUGGAUUGAUUCUAUCUCCUACCUCCAACGGGAAAGCGCAGUGACUCUCCGGUGAUAGGCGCCCCAAGCGUCUAAAAGUUCCGUGCUUUAUAGGUUUUACAAAUAGAUCCUGCUUUCACCAGUCUGUUUACGCCUUCAUUCUCUCACUCCCCAUCAUCAGAUGCCGAAGCCCUUUCUCAUUUCAGCCAUUGGUGAUUGCCCAUCUACAUCAAUAAGAAUGAGGCAUGACUUCUUUUCCAGUAGCUAUGCCUGAACUGAACCUCGUACAAGACUUUCUUUCCGGCCUUACGCUUCCCAGUCUCGGGAAAAGAAUAAGAAUAGCUCUUUCGGUCAAAGUCGAUAAGGAUCAAAGUCCAAUAGCUAGGGUGGGAUUGUCUUCUGUUCUCAACUCGGGAAGGAAAUAAGCAUGGAUUCACCUAUUCCAGAAAAAAAAGGAAUAUGCACUUAUUCGCUUUUAGGUUUAGCUUUCGAGAAAGGCAAGGCCUUACAACACAAAGUCUUGCUCAUUCCCGGAAGAAAAAGAAGAGGAUUCUCAGCCCGCCUAGAGUAUAGCUUCCAGCUCGGCUAAGCAAGGACUCCAUCCUAAGUAAAGCAGUCUGAAAGAAAGAUGCCACUUGAACUAUUUAGAAUAUGCAUUUUCCUGGUACACCAAGCCUAAGCAGCUCAGCCGUUGAAGCGACUCUAAGCCAAAGAGACGGUCUAUGGCGCUACCCCUACUGUCAGGGAGGGGGUUUUUUUUUGUCCUCGAGGGAAGGAAGCGUAAGCCAAGCCAGCUUAACUAAUGACUGGUCAUUGUUACCGAGUUCGUUCCAACGACUACGACCGAGCCUUUUUUAUUUUCAUUCUUCAAGCGACAGAACCCAAAGGUCAAGCCUUUGACUAAUAUGUUCACCCCUGAAUGAGAUAGGAGCGUAUGGCCCGGCUUUGAAUGAGAAGGGGGGGUGGGACCCUCCAGCAAGGAGAGUCUGUUGAUCUUGAGCUUUUUUAGUUUAGAUGAAUCCUCAAGCCAGGAAUGAGAUUCUUUCACCAAGCCAAGUGGGAUUCAAGUAAACAAGAAGGUAAGCUUCUCUAUCCUAGCUUCUUCCAUCGCUUUUUCGGACAGCAACUUUCUAGCUUCCUCCGCUCCACUAAGAGUAUCAGUUACUCGAGAAAGACUGAAUCUUAUUCAAGUGAAGAAGACCGGGAACCCCUCUACGCGAAUGUCUAGUCCUUCUUCCUCCCCUUUUCGAUUUCAAUACUGGACCUCGUAAAUGGUCCUUUAGAAAAGAAAAGGCAUUUUCUGACAUCUCGUGAGUGAUUAGCGGAGCAUUGAGUUCCUUUUUUGAAUCUGUAAUGGUUUAAAGAACCUGCUUUUCUUCAACCCCCAGAAAAGAAAAAAAAGGGGAGAGGUACGUUCGUUGCAACGAAUGAAACUUCGUCAACAGCAACUUUCACUUGUUAGGAGUAGGGGCUGAAAAGAGCUCUUUGUAUAGGUUGGGUUUUCUGGGCUUUGAUGCUUACCUUAUUAUUAUGAAAAGGGGAAGGUUUGAGAAAGGAGCUUUUCAGCCCUUUUGCUGGAUUGUUGGUCCGCAGUCCCGCCCUAUAGAAUGAAAAAAUAAGGAGAGGUUUAUCGAUGAUCGAGCCACUCUUAUACUACUCCUUACCUCACCCCCUUGUCACUUAAAGGGCGAAGUCGCGGAAGCGAAUCUAAAGGCCAAAGAGUCAUCUUUGAAGCCACGAAUUAGUCCUUACUCAUAGUAGAGUGUAAGGCAGGUUCAAGUCCUGCUAUACCCCCGUCUUUCUCUUAAAACUCACCUCACUCUCGUGAAUGUCCCUCCCAAAUCCUAGCAUGACGUGGAUGAUCCGCCGAAUCCAUUGCUGACUUCACCACGAUCGGAUUAGGUGAAACGGUUUUGCAAAGUUUGUUUUUUCAUACAGGCAGCAUGGUUAUAGUACUCAGAUUGUGCCAGCCAUGCAAUUCGUACUGCAUUGGCGGAAUUGCUCUACACUCUAUAAAUAGAGGCUCAAGAAGCUUUUGUGCUCUACAAAAACAAAAAAGUUAUAAGGAAGGCUUAUUGGCAUUCAAACUGUCGUAUCGGCAAUAAAAGAAAAGGUGUUGAUGGGAAUAUGUUAAUAUUGGCUUUUUUUUGAGGGAACGAUGAAAUUGUACUUAAUGUUCUUCCUGCUAGUCCCGAUCACUGGAUUUUCACUUCAUUACUGGUGCUUAGCAGCUCCUCUACUUGAGAGUCCAAUUAAAAUGACCCUUCUGGCUUAGCUUAGAUAUGAGAAAGACCUGCGGGUGAGCGACUACCUGUGAUAGACGAAUUCGCUCCUACUUUUUAACCGACCGAAUCGGAGUUUUGAACCCAUGUCGAAACCAGGGAGGUUGAAGACAAACUUUAGACAUUCAAAUCACAGUUAAAAAGAGGAUUUUCAAAGAUUGGGUUGUGAGGUUAGGGUUGUGGAGGAUGAUUCGAAGUGCUCAAUGCUGUAAAACGUAAGCGCAAGCUUAACUCGAUCAUGACCUUGUGGAUUCGACCCACCUGAAUAUCUCCUUCCCUUUCAUAUUGAUUUUCCCUCGAGCCUAGAACUUCUUUCUAUUAGAAGUGAAUUACUGGGCCUAAACUAAAAGACUGCGGAUUUCCGGUUUGCUUCAUUACUGGGCGGGCCUAGCCCUCUUUCUUUGGAUUCAACUGAGACGAAUUGCUCGUUGACAGCUUAGAUCACCACGGCAUCUUACCUUGCUUUUGUCUUUCUUGCUACCGCUCUGAAAGCUUGAACUAACUCCGAGAUUCGACUUCCUUGCCCAGUCAAUCUCUUUUUUGAGGCGUGUAGCUACCUUCCAGCCAUCGGCGUAUCUGCUUCCGCUUUCUCACACCACAACUCUAACGUCCGGUCCUGAGUCACUCUUUAGGAUCUUCUCAUUCACUCUUCGCUUUAGUCUUCGGCCAAUCGCAAUGAUUGACAUGACUGGGAGAGUCAAGGUUUCCCCCUCCACACUAAAGAAAGGCUUUCGGUCGAUUCAAUGCUUUGAAUCCAUGCAUGGACACUGUAUGCCAGAGGAAAGAGAUCUCGUUUUCACCCUGCCCCGUGGGCAAUCCAUCAACACUCAUUCCCCUCUGGAACAAAGACAGAUUACAAAUCUCUAGCUUACUAAACCCUUCUCUCGUUAGCCUUUUUCCUUAACUCUUCCGCUCCGUUCCACUCCUGAGUCUUUCUUCUCCAGUAGCAGCUGUCUUUGGGUAGUAGAGUCCUCGUCUGCUUAUUCGCUAGCCUCUCUUGCUUUGCUUGACUGCCCGUCUAUUUACUUAAUAUGAACCUCUGCUGUGAAUCCUUACUCUUGAACCCCAGGAGAGGUAACUCAAUAGGUAGAGGCUAUAGAACCGUUAGGCUAGGCCAAUUCGACUUCAUUUGUCUGCUUCGGUUUACCUUCUUUCAGUGGUCGCUUUUGUGGCUAGCUCGUUAUCUUGGUCAAAAGAAACCUCUUUCUUUAGUGGCAGUGGCCAAGCCAAAUCGCUCAAAGAGGAAUCGCCCGACAGAGUGAAAAUCCGGCUACUUUUUCUUUUAAUAGAACGAACUCGGAACCGUCGAUUGGUGCAUGGGUUUACUUUCUUUAAACGAGUUAGCAGGGCUGUAAGCCUCCUUCAGAUUCAAAGUAGUAGUAGGAGGGCAUGUGUAAGCCGUUCUAAGAGUCAGGGGCCUAGCGAGCCAAAAGGUCUCUGGGUUGACAGUUAACUGAUUGCCCAUUUCCCAAAACCACUAGGGAUAUAAUGCGCUCUUAGCCUUUCCUUCAUCUAGUAAGAUGAGAUCCGACCCGAGGCAGGGCUCUUUCAUAAGAUUGAUUGGCCUUUGAAUUCAAGCAGGAAUGAGAGCCGAUUCGAUAUUCCCCUUCAGGGGAACUAGUCUGCACAGAUGGUACAUUAAACAACCUUCGGCGGCACCUCCCCAACAUAAUAAGAAUCAUUUGAAUCAUGACAGCACAAUACUCAUCAUCCAUUAGGAAAGAUCUUCGAAUUACACUACUAAGUGAUUCUUUGGUGAAGGCGAAAGCCCCUACCCUAGGACUAGUAGAGUUGACCGGAGGUUCCCCCUAUGACGAGCAGGCCAGAAGU